rnacentral:rRNA from 1 species
GACAGAGGUGCCGAGCGUUAGGCGGAAUCACUGGGCUUAAAGCGUGUGUAGGCGGACCGUUAAGUACCUUGUGAAAUCCCCCGGCUCAACCGGGGAACGGCUGGGUAUACUGGCGGUCUUGAGCCAUCCAGGGGCAGUCGGAACAGACGGUGGAGCGGUGAAAUGCGUAGAUAUCGUCUGGAACGCCGAAGGUGAAAACAGACUGCUGGGGAUGCGCUGACGCUGAGACACGAAAGCCAGGGGAGCAAACGGG